UCGCGGAUCAGCAUGCCGCGGUGAAUACGUUCCCGGGCCUUGUACACACCGCCCGUCACACCAUGGGAGUCGGUAACACCCGAAGCCGAUAGUCUAACGAAAGAGGACGUCGUCGAAGGUGGGAUUGAUGACUGGGGUGAAGUCGUAACAAGGUACC
rnacentral:rRNA from 1 species